AUAAAUUUUAAAAAAACAUGUUGCCCAUGUACUAGUUGACAGUUGAAGUCGUAAACAAAUGUCAAAGAAUCAGUAACAUUAAUAGAACCAUGCCUGACUACAAUGUAGUUGAUGUAGAAAGCAGUAAGAAAAGGAUAAAGAAGUUUCCAUAUCCUCAGCCAUCUAAAGAUUCACAACUAUAGAUUCAUGGGUUAAAGAGAAAGAUUAGGAUGUAUCAAAAGUUACUUAUCACUCACCAACAAUGAAAAUACUCACUUCAAACUGCUCGGGCGUGGGGGGAAUAGUCACUUUAUUAUGUAGGAACUUGGUCGACCCACUUAAGUUGUACCAUCACAGUUAACAUUAAUAAAGCAAAAUGGACGGGAUGCAGCUAAAAAAAAGUACGGGCCAUACAUUUCGUUUUAAAUAUAUUAUUAAAAAAAAUUAAAACCCUGCUAAAAGCAAACAACAUUGUUCUCAAAAGUGGGAAUUGGGUUGUAUAGUUUUUAGUAGUCCCAAGUCUUACAAAACAGACACAGCACCUGGAAUAGCAGAACCCCAAACCACAGACAACUCCCCAACACCCUGGCUGACAGCGUCUCGCUAAGCGCUUCACCGCUGGCUGGCAGAUCUGCACUGUGUCAGAAACUGAGGCGGUGGGGGAAGCUGGGGGCUGAGAAGAGGAGAACUUCCUUAGGAGUCUCCCAGAGAACAAACUGUGGGAACCAGAUUGACUAGAGGGGUUUGACAUUAAGUCCUGGUGGUAACACUGUUCACCAGUGGCCACUACCAUCACAGAAAGCGGGGCAGCCAGACUUACGUGUCUCCUGAUGGAAGAAUACAAUGCCACCUGUGAAGUCCUGCCCAAAACUUUGGACCUAAAUCAGUUCAAAUAGCUAGAUCCAACAACCAAAUUUAUAGGAGAUACAGAGGACAGAGAAACACAGUAAACUAUACCAUGUAGAUAUGAUAAGCAAAAUCCAGCCUGACGAAAUUCUACAGCAGUGUUCCUCAAGAUGAGAUCUGCAUAAUGAAAUAAGUACAAGAAUCAGAAGUAAGUGAUUAGAAAUGUUUAGACCGUCAUAGUCAAGCCUGUUGUCAGAGGACUUCUGUGGAUCUGCAUGCAGACUGGUCCAGGUGUUCCCAGAUGCUCUUGGUGAGCUGCAUGUGCUCAGUCUGGGUGGUGGUUUUGUGCAGUAGCACCGUGUAUCAUUUCGAGACCGAUUAGAAAUCUAAAACUGUCUCUUUACCGUAGACAGUUUGAGAAGCACUGCUCUAUGGGAUAAAUGAUUCAGUUUCUUCAAAUAAAAGCAAGGAAAACAAAAGGGGAAAACAGUAGAUGCUGCCUAUAGGUUAAAAGGACAGAUCUCAAUCACUCACAAUGUGUAGAUCCUAUCAAGAGAAAACACCUUUCAAGAAAAAAAGAUUUGAGACCAUUGGAAAUUUGAACACCAACUGAAUAUUUGAAUUUAAGGAGUUCUUUAUUUUUACUUUUCUAAGGUAUAACAAUGGUAGUGUAUUUUUAUACAGUCAUUCUCUUUCAGAGAUACAUAUUGAAAUACACGUGAGCAAAAUGAUGUCUGGAUUUUCUUCGAAAUAAUGAGGGGUAGGUGUCUGGGGAUGAAUGUAAGAGGAUUGGUCAUGAAUUGUCAAUUAUUGAAGCCGGGUGUUGGAUACAUGAUGAAUCCAACAUUAUCCUUUCUAUUUUUGCAUGUGUUUGAAAUUUUCCUAAUAAAAGUUCGAAGAAAAAGACUGAAGGAAAACAUUGGGAUCAGUCAGUCUGUCAAUAAAAAAAAAAAAUUUUGCUGAACAUGAACUGGGAUCCGGGGCUGUAAGAAGGUAUCACACAGUCACGAGGAGGUCCCUGGUUUCACAGGGAAGACAACAGUUAAGAUUAAAAAAAUAACGGGAGGCGGGAGAUACUAAACACUAGAGCGUGAGCACAGGUUACAUUCAGUAGAAAACUGAAACCGAUUAAAUCUAGAAUUAAUAGCCUCUCUUCCAUCAUUCUGAGAUGAUUUUACUGUGAGGUUUUAUAAAAUCUGAAAGACUUGUAGUCUUUCUCAAAAAACAGAAAAAGAGGGACCUAUCAAACUCAUUUCAUGUUAGACUUGUUAAUAACAAAUUAGAUGAAAAAGGUAAUAUUAGAGGUUUCAUCUUUAUGAACACAGAUUAUUCUCAUUUCUAAUGAACAGGUACAGAAUUAUUAAAUGAAAUGUUUGCAAAUGUAAUUUGUUGGAGUAUUGUGUCCUACCACAUUAUUACUAUGCAUGUAUUACAUUGUAUGAUAUUAACUGAUACAAGGGGAAAAAGCAUGUGAUCACCUCAGUAGAUGUGGGAAAAUCAUUUGGUGGCAUUUAAUGUUUUAGGACGUUAAAAAAGCAUUUGAUGACAUUAAUAUGAUAAAAACUUUUAGCAAGCUAGGAACAGAAGGGAACUUCCUUAACAUUAUGAAUGAUAUUUGUCAAGCACUCACAGCAUACAUCAUGAUUAGUGGUGAAUCAUUAUAAACAGUCCCAUCAAAUUAGCAACAAUUCAGGGUUGCUUGCCAUCACUGUGUGGGAGGUUCUAGUUUAUGCAGUAAACCAGAAAGAGAAAUGAAGAUCUAAGCAUUGGGAAACAUGAGAUAAAGCUGCCUCAUUUAUGGAUGACAUGAUGGGCUACCUAGGAAAUUGAAUAGGUAUCCAGAUCAAUUAUUAGUGCUAAUAAGAGAGUUCAGCAGUGCUGUUGGAUACAAAGACAAUAUACAAAAAUACAUUUCUUAUCUACAGGUAAUAGCCAGUUAGAAAAUAAAAUGGAAUAAAGAUUUUAUUCAUAACAUCAACUAAAACUUCGAAGAAUCUAGGUAUCAUUGUUGCAGAAGAUGUUCAAGAUACUUGUAGAUAAAAUUAUCAGGUAUUAUUAAAAGACGUAAAGGAAGAAGAGACAAAGGAAAGGAAGGAGAGACAAAGGAACGAUAUACCAUGUUCCUAGAUUCAUGAAGAUGACAGCUUUCCCCAAAUCAAUCUAUAAAUUCAUCGUAAAUCUAAUAAAAAUGUCUACUGCGUGUUUUGGAGAAGUUGAAGGACUGAUUUUCAAAUUUAUAGGAAGAGCAAGUUUACAAAUAGCCAGAAAAAAAUUUAAGAGCACCAGUGUAAGGGGACACGCCUUACCAAGCAUCAAGACUCAUAAUGCUCCAGUUAUUAAGAUGGUUUUGCAUUGGCACAAGUUUAGUCAAAUAGAGAACUUUGAAACAGCUCUCCUCAUAUUUGGGAGUUCGUUUUCAUUAUAAAAUGGAAGUGAUGUUAAUAAGUGGGGAGAUGAUGGAUUCCACAUGAAUUGCUCUGAGACAGUUGUCUGUAGAGGAAAGAACACUUGGUCUCUACCUCACACCAAAUGCAAAAUUCAACUCCGGAUGGUUUCACAAUCCAUUUGUGAAAAGGAAGUCUUCAAAACUUGAGAAGAAAAUUCAAGAGAUUAUUGUUAUCACCUUGUGGGUAGAACACAGUCUCUUAAAUCGAGAAUUCCUAAACAAGAAAAAUCCUUAGUGGAAGAAAAAUUUUAAAGUUGACUGCGUUAAGGUAAAACUUAACACCUAAUAAAAGAAUUCUUAAACAAAGUUAAAAGGCAAGCAUCAGGCUGGGUGGAGAAAUCUGCUAUGCAUAUAACUAACAGAGGAUUAUUGUUGAUCAAAUAUAAAGGUCUCAGUAUGAUAAAAAGAAUCCAGUAGGAAAAAAUCUGAAAUACCAAGAGUUGGCCGAUAUGUGGAGCCGUGAGAAUGCUCUGAGGGAGUAUAAAACCCACACCUGGAACCCCACUCUCAAGUGUGUAGUUCAGAUGCGUCUUGAGUGCUUCUAUCAGCAGAUAGUGAGAAUGUUCAUAGCACUAUCAGUAUGGUAUGGUAUUCAUAUAUUUGUGAAAAUGAAUAAAUCACAAUCAAAUAUAUUAACAUGAAUGAAUAUAGAAAGUAGCAUUAGGCAAAGAAAGUUUUAAAAGCGUACAUUGUAUGAUUGCAUUUAUGUAAAGUUUAAGACAUGGGCAGAGCUAACCAAUAUAUUAUUUUGGUGUUUGUGCAUGUGUGGACAAGUUAUGGAAAGCAGGGGAAUAAUUUAAACAUUAAGUUUGGUUGUUACCUCUACAAGGAGUGGCAGGGGAUUGUGAUCAGGUACGGGCAUGCAAGGGGCUGCAAGGUUUUUGGUACUAUUCUCUUUUCUGAAAAUGGAUAUGGGUGGUGAGCAAACAUGUAUGUGCUUUUAUUACUAUUUAAAAUGACAUACACUUUUUAUAAAUCGAUCGUGUAAUUUUUUUUUAAGAAAGAAAAAUGGGCAAAGAACAUUAACAGCCUGUUGAUGGAAGAAGCAUGAGAUCAGCCAAUAAACAAGGAUCGGUUUUAUCGGUAAAUAAGGAAAUGCAAAUUAAAGCAACCAGAUAUUCCUACAAACUGAUUAGAUUAGCAAAAUUUAAUAAUCUUGACAAUACCGAGUAUCUAGAGGAACCAUAAAUCUUACACCCUUCGACGGGGAGUGUAUGUAGUUGCCACCACUUUGUAGAGUUAUUUGGUAGUUUUCCUUUUUUUUUUUUUCUUUCUCAAAUUGUGCGCUCUGGGAUCUGGCAUUUUUCUUCUAGGUGUUACAAAUAAAGGACAAUGGGCUCUAAGUGUGCAUUGAGUGCUUCACAGCAGUUAACAUAAAUAAACUAGAGGUACCAUGUCAACUUGGAUGAGGUUUUAAUAAAACGUUGAGAGAAGCAAAUAAAUUAUGAGUGAUACUAAACUAGGAUAUCUUCCUAAUAGGUAUUUCAAAAUGUGCCCAACAAUACGUGCUCUCACUGUGCCCUUAGUCUGUGCUCCUUCCCUCUCGCUCUCUGUCUGCGUGCACGAGCUCCAGCUCCUCCUCAACACACACACGUGCAUGCACACCACAGCCACACAGUUUUUUUGUUACAUAAAUAUGUAGGUAGGUGUGAAAAAAGUACAUGGGAACGAUAAACACCGAAAGCAAGACAGUGAUUUCCUGUGAGGUGAAGGCAGGGCGAGUGGUGGUGGCACAGGCGUCAUCAGUGUUUGCAAAGGAAUCAAGAUGUUAUGGAUUUUUUGGAGCGUAGAAGGAUCUCUGAGACUGAAAAGUUUGAGAACCACUGUUCUAUAGCUUCGAAACUAAAUUUUUGGAAAACAUUUAUUGAGACAUUUAUUUUUGCAAAAGAUAGCAGAUUUCAUGUGUUUGCUGGACCCACUGGAGGGAGCCCAUAUGAAUCCUGUACCUAUUUAAUCUGAUUUAAAUAUAUUAAUUAAAAAGUACACACCUGGACCAGUGCUCGAAGAAGCUCCGCUUUCCUUUGGUCUCCGGAGAUGCCUGUCCUGUCCCGCUGGUGGUGCCCUGUUCAGGGGGCCUGCGAAUGCACGGGGUGGGCAGGGGGUGGGCAGGGGGCAGACAUUCUGCAGUUUACUCUCCACUCUUGGCUGCAGAGGCUUUGUUUCCUCUGUGUCUCUAUCCCUGUUUGAUGAUUUCCUCUGGGUAGGUGUUAUCCAGGGUCUUUCUAUUACAUACACUUGUGCAAAUGAUAGUUUAUUCAUGCUGAGCCUUCCUUUCUGCCUAGUCCCGUCUUCAUUAUUGUAAAAAAAAAUUCUAAAUGCUACGUUUCUUCCUCCAUUCCUUCCUUUCCCCCUUCUCCCCUCCCCCCUUCUUUCUUUUUUUUUUUUGGUAAAUUUAUUUAUUUAUUUUUGUCUGCCUUGAAUUUUUUGAAAUUUUUACUGGUCUACGAAAUACAAAACUUUAGGUCUUAAUAACUGAAGAUGUGGUGAUAUUAUGGAGACGUUGUAAAUAUUUUAUAAUAUAUGAUUCAUGAAUAUUCACACAGAAACAAAGGAGCAUAUUUUCAUAGAAGAGAUAAAUGAAGUUGUAUAGAGAAGUAAGCUUUUUUUUCUUAGUUUUUUUUUUUUUUGGCUGCAUUGGGUCUUCGUUGCUGCACGUGGGCUCUCUCUAGCUGCGGUGAGCGGAGGCUACUCUUCGUUGCGGUGCACGGGCUUCUCAUUGCGGUGGCUUCUCUUGUUGCGGAGCACAGGCUCUAGGCACGCGGGCUUCAGUAGUUGUGGCACAUGGGCUCAGUAGGUGUGGCUCAUGAGCUCUAGAGUGCAAGCUCAGUAGUUGUGGCGCACGGGCUUAGUUGCUUCAUGGCAUGUGGGAUCUUCCUGGACCAGGGCUUGAACCCGUGUCCCCUGCGUUGGCAGGCGGAUUCUUAACCACUGUGACACCAGGGAAGUCCUGAGAAGUAAGCUUUUGCUAUAAUUUUGACCACAACGAUUGCUAUAUACUACUUCAUCACGAUGUCUGUGUGAGGUUCAUAUCCCAUCCCAUGCCCCUUUUUAUAAGUGAUCACUGUUGCUCCCCGUUUCCCCCUGUAGGAGUGCGGGUAAGGGACUUCUCCAUAGACUUGUCUGCAAUGGCUCAAUCCUGGUAUAGACAUCCUUCAUUACAAACAACCCCUUUAGCCUCUAUCGUGGUCCAUUCUUGUUAGAAAACCACUCUCAUUUAUCAUUAGAAAAUUUUAUUUUUCUCCCUUUGAUACUGUCUCCCACUUUACAGAUGGUUCAUUAGAACCCUACUGUUCCUGGUCUGCUUUUCCCGGGCUCCCCCAGUGUCAGUCUUGUGGUGAUCCAAGCACAGUCUCUUUCUUCUUGCUCUCUACCCCGAAUCACUCUUCUGUCCUUCAGUGAAUGACAGGUUUUAUUCUCCACCAUGUGGUGAUUGGGUUUCCUUAAUGGCCUCAUGUGGAGCGGGCUUUAUUGAAGGCGUUUUUAUUUGGCCUUGAUAGAUUAUAGUCACCAUGUUUCCCUAAUCUCUUCCUGAAAAUCUUUUAGGAAGGACUCCCCCUGUCAGAGACACACUUACACUGAAAUGGCUUUUCUGUUUUAAAAUUCUUUUUCUCUACCCAAAUGUUUACUCUGGCAUAUCUCUUGACAAUGAAGCAAAAGGUGGCUGGUCACAGCCAGGACCCACGAUAUGUUGGACUUGGGUAACACCCGGUUACUGGGGGGCAGAGGGGGGUUUACAGCGAGCCUGGUCUCUGUUUUCUGUGGCGCAGCGCCUGUGCAGAUAAUUAGUUCUUGCUUAUGACAAGGCCGGGACGCAUGGCCUCUCAGCCUGAGGCCCUGACACUGACCCGUGGCUUACUGUCCAUGACCUCGGGGAGCUGUCAGCACUUACUGCCUGGAGCUGCUCGUUUGCGUAUAUCUGAUUUCUCCAACUGGCCAGUCAGUGCCUAAAAGGUCGCUCUUUCUUCCCUGUGCCUCGUCCUUUCUCUAACCCAGGGUCCUGCACUGAGUAGCAGUUGGUGAACGUGGUAUUCGAAUGCCUCCCUCGUUCUGCCGACGUCCGCUCUGCGAAACAUGGCAGCUCACAGUGUCAAGUGGGUGGCGGUUCACCCCUCAGCUUUUCACUCUCAGAGCUGUUUCUCCUGCCCCAGGCUUCCCAAGGAGCAGGUGUAUCAGUCAGGGCUGGAUUGCAAGGCAGUGAGUGCCUGUGACUCGAUCAGGGCAAGCUUAAUAUACAGGAUUAUUAAGUGUAACACAGAGAAUAGGGGGAUGCGGGGUUGGCGGGUAAGAAGAGAACUCUAGAGGGCGUGGGACUAGCAGUUACAGGAGCAGCUGACGCCCCCAGCCUGAGGCUGAGCCCCAAGGAAAGAGCUUCCCCCCACCCGACCCCCGCACCCCCGUCUGUGGCUCCCGAGGGGCACCAAGCUGGUAGUGGUUUCAUGCUGAUGGAAUCGCUGGACAUCCACCCUCUGGAAUUUGCUGGAAAUCUGCUUCUGAGGUGCCAGGGGAAGCUGUUUCGGGGGACGUGUCUUGCAGAAAGCACUGUGCUGUGAAACCGCCCAAGAGGGGCAGUCCUGGGGGGCGGCUGCCGCUGCCCGCACCGAAGGGCACAGGCGCGGGGAACCAGCCAGAGGCCGCUCACAGCGUCUCUCCAGCACCUCUGCUGGGCCAGCUCAGCGCUGCGCCAACUGGCAGAGGACGAAUAUUUAAAGGGCCCAACUCAGUUUUCGCGAGCAGUCGAUGCAGGGUUGAUCUGUGGCGCAGAGGCAACCGUCAGCUGGCUCCCUUUCCUGAAUAUCUGGAAGGCUUCAGGGAGACAGGCUGUUAUUCCCCCCAUCAGUGAGUGGCUAGGGAAGGUCACAUUUAAGGAGGCAAAGGCAUUUGUCCUUGAUGGUAACUCAAGGUUUCUGAAUAUAAUUUAGGUGGUGGGAAGCCCUCUAGUUAUUUGUUCUUAGUACAUGGAACGUAUAAAGGAUGGGGGAUGGUUUGAAGGAUAAAAGCUCAUGAUUCUGAACCAACACAGCAUCUAGAGAAAAACAGAUGAGUAUCUUCUAUCUCAGUCCUCCAGGAUCUCAAGAAAAUUCUUACCGUGUCUAUUCUCCAUCCGCUGUUGGAGGCCAAGAGGGCCUCGUUGGGUUUUACUGAGUCCACAUAAUUACAAUAGCAGUGUUUUUUGUACUAGCUCAAGUGUUGUGUGAAAGCAGCAGAAAUAUUUUCACAGCGAUGUUAUACUCUUUCAAGGUAGACUUCACACCUUGCUAGAAACCAUGUUUCUUGGCUUGGUGCCCAUUCCUGUAGCUGUUGUGUGGAUGGUGGUGGAAUUUCACGUCUUCAGCUUGGUCCGUGCCGGUGGGCGGUGACGGGCUGGAGUGUUCUUCGUCGGCCUCCGACGGGCCAGCAGCCCGUGACGCUCACAUCCCGUCGGACUGCGUGUCCAGAUCCCUGAGUCUACCCUUGGACGUACAAGGUGACACCUGCUCUUUAGCUGGUACUUUAAAUAGCCUCUUUCUGAGGCUUUGCCUAAUGCCAUGCUCCUGACUCAGCCUGGGGUAGGUCUCUGUGAAGUUGUAAACUUGUUAACAUGAAUGAAUUUGAAAGAUAAAGUAGGGUUUUCUUAAACUGGAUACAUCAUCUAAACACCAUACUGUUUUUCAGCUUUAUAGAGACUUCGUACAGUGUUGUAUGUGAAUUGGUAGCAUUUCAUCAGAGCAAUGAUUUCCAGCAUUUUUCUUUUACCGUUUGAGAAUCUGCUGAGAGGUUCGGACACCCUCCGCAGAUACACACACACUUUGUAUGUACGUAGCUUAAGAGGUGCUCUAGGCACCCGGAUGAGAUGAUGAAAUUAGAUGAGAGUCAAGGAGCCGCUUCAGUCUCCACGUUGCUGAUUUCCAGCCUGAGUCUGUAGUAAAUUGGAAAAGUCUCUUCUUUAUUCUCUCAGCCGCUCUCUCUUCCCACUUCUGCUGCUUCUCUGUAAUACUUCUCUUGGGUCACGUUACCGUGCUGGGAUUGUGUUUGGUGGUGCAUUACAUGAACAGCAGACGUUAGGGUUAAGUUAGCCGUAGGAAGGCAGAGGAUGCCUCCUAACUUGGGAAUGACUGGAUGUUAGCUGUCGGGGUGAUUCGAGGGUCAGGCUUAAGUCAGGAGUUAAGCGUCACAGGCUGCCUAGAGCUGGAGGCUGGGUUGAGUGUAUUUGGGGAAGCCAAAGGAGAGAUUUCUGUGUAAGUCUGAGAGUCUCUCUCCUGGGGCAGGGAACAUUCCAGAUCCAAAAAAUGGCAGUAGUUGUUCUAUGUUUGGAAAGCUUGCAAGGCAGACAGCUACCUGGCGACUGGACUCAGGUACAGAGUCGAGAGCGUGGAUCUUGUGGGGAACAGAUCUUACCACACGCCCAAGAGGAGGUGACCCGUGUUAGGGUUUAGUAAUUAGUUAUAUGUGUUAUUUCAGGUUCAUGACCAAGGCUUAAAACAGGAAGGAUUUAUACCAGACAAAUGGAAAAAAUAACUUUCUCACAAAAGGAUCUUGAGUGAGAGACUGUUUUUCAAAGGGAAUUUGGGCUACCAUCUCCAGGGUGAUAUAUCUCUCAAUAUUUUUAGGACAUGGACUCUUAGAUGAAGGGAAAGACCCCUCAGUUGAGUUGCCCCAACUCUUUCACCUUUUCAGUGCAAAAAGAACUCUGUGGUAGCAAUCUUGUGUCAUUUUGUGGGGAAUUUGGCAUUGGGUCCAUGUAGAAUACUGUCCAUCAGCUUUGGCAGUAGUGGUGUAAAUGAUUCUUAUUUGAACUACAGUGUCUUAAAUAUAAUUUUUUUAAAUACAGAUUUAUUUAUUUAUUUUGGGCUGCAUUGGGUCUUUGUUGCUGCGCACGGGCUUUCUCUAGUUGCGGCAAGCAGGGACUACUCUUAAUUGCGGUGCGCGGGCUUCUCGUUGUGGUGGCUUCUCUUGUUGCGGAGCAUGGGCCCUAGGUGCAUGGGCUUUAGUAGUUGUGGCACAUGGGCUCAGUACUUGUGGCUCACGGGCUCUAGAGCACAUGGGCUUCAGUAGUUGUGGCAUGCGGGCUCAGUAGUUGUGGCUUGUGGGCUGUAGAGCGCAGGCUCAGUAGUUGUAGUGCCUGGGCUUAGUUGCUCCGCGGCAUGUGGGAUCUUCCCGGACCAGGGCUCAAACCUGUGUUCUCUGCGUUGGCAGGCAGAUUCUUAACCACUGUGCCACCAGGGAAGUCCCUUAAAUAUAAUUUUAACAUCUAGCUGCUAGGUGUUGAUUCCAUCACAUAUGGUGUAGUGUUUAUUAAACAACCCACAAUAAAUUCAUCUAUAACAAUACAACUAAUAAUAAUUUUUGGUUGAAAGGUUCUACCAGCAUUCAAAAUCUACAACCAACCCACGACACCACUGAAGAUCUAGUGAUAAUUUUCUUCUUGUGAAUUGUGGUGAUUCCAACUUUUCAAAUGUGUUCUAGGGGUUUUUGGUGUUGUCCAUUUGUAUUAAUCAGGAUUCUCCAGAGGAACAGAACCAAUAGGGUGUGUGUGUGUGUGUGUGUGUGUGUGUGUGUGUGUGUGUGUGUGUGUGUAGAGAGAGAGAUGAGAUGAUUUAUACUAAGAGGUUUAUUAUAAGGAAGUGACUCACUUGCUCAUGGAGGCUGAGAAGUCCAGAUCAAGGAGAGCCAACGGUAGAGUUUCAGUCUGAAUCCAAGUGUGAAGGCAGGAGAAGACUGGUGUCCCAGCCCAAAGACAGUCAGGCAGAGGGAAAGAAUUCUUUCUUAGCCUUUCUUCUAUUCAGGUCUUCAGCAGAUGGGUGAAGCCCACUCACAUCGGAAGGGCCUUCUGCUGUACUCAGUCAACUGAUUCAAAUGUUAAUCUCAUCUAGAAACGCGCUCAUGGAAACAUACAGAAAUAAUGUUCAACCAGAUACCUGAGGACCCCGUGGCCCCGAUAAGUGGACACAGAAUUGCCCAUCACAGUCCUGGGCAGCAGACUCUGCAGUGGGCACCCAGUCCCUGGGCAAUUCUGAUAACGCCUCAGCUUUGUCCUAGAGACGCCACAUUUUAGACACUCCUCGUAAACCACUUGGUCAGUUACUAGCAAGUAGCCUUCAUUCAUACACGACAGUGUGGAAGUGUGGAACUGUGCACUUCUCGCCAAUCGGGACUGAGUAAAGGACGUGAUGAACUUUUGGCUGGCUGGCUCUUGGAGGCCAGCUGUGGGCCUUGGCAUCAUUACGGAAAAUGUUUCUGGGAGCAGUGCCUGCCACUCUGGAAAUGACACCAGCUCCGGGGAGUCCAGUCCUGGCUCUGCACCUCACUGUCUGCAGCCUGAGAUGAGUCUUCAGCCACUUGGAGCCUCCGUUUCCUUAGUUGACACAAGGACCACUCCCGAGUGUGGCUGGAGAGCCUGGCUGGUGGCUGAUGAGCUAGAGACGCUCAGCAAGUGUCAGAACCGCUCCCCACCCCCCCGCCCCUGCCAUAGUUAUCUUAAAAAUAGAUGCCUGGUUAAGUGUACGUCUACCUGUGUAUCAUCAGCAUGAAUCAGUGACCUCAUGGGUCCUACGUUUUAGGUCUGAUCUGUUUUUUUUUUAAGCCACUGCUGUCUUUUCCGUGGACUGGUUAGUAGUGUGUCUUCUGUCAUCUUCCUUGAGAGGAGGUGACAGAAUUUCGACAGAGCCUCACUUGGUCCUGUUAUGCUUCACCCACUGAUGUCACAAACGAGCUGUUCAGCCAUCUGAAGAGGAAAAUGCAGUCUCUUUCUCUGUGUCAUCUGUCAUCAUGGCCUAGGCAGAGGGUGAUGAGAGACCACGAUUUUAAAGUCGGCAGCAGAAUGGGUGAACUUUCCUCCUCUGUUAAAUGGCGGUUGUCGUGAGAACCAGUUCGCGCAGGACGCGGUGUUGUCACCACUGUUGGUUUUUGCCUCAACACAUCCAGACCUCUAAGCUCUCGUGUGGUUCGCGUGCGGCUUCGUGUAAGUUCCCCGCUUUGAGGUUUCUGAUGUGUCCUCUGUAUAGACCAGAGCUUGGCAGAGUACGAAUCUACAUUCUUCUCCCACUGGUACCCCUGGGAGAACCCGUAAGAGAAGAAAAGUGCUGAAAAACACACUCCUCAUCAUGGGUCGGAGUUAAUAAAAGCCAGCCAAACAGCUGGAUGUCCAGAACACCCAGGAGGCAGAGGUCACUCGCUGAUGGUGCUGACGACAUUUCUGCGGGGAGCAGCCUCCCGCGUGCCAGGGAAACGGCCCCGUGGAGGCGUGUAACUUCUUGUCCCCAGGCUCUUCCUGACACUGGCUUCUCGGGAACACGCGUCCUUGAGGAACUGAAGAGCCUCUGUGAUAUAUUCAACCUGAGUUUUCGCUCAUGGAGGCUUGAGUGAGGGGAGAUUUGGAAAGACCGUGCCGUUCGGCGAGGACCUGUUUGAGUUUGCGCCUGAAGGUCUGGGGUGGGGCUCCUGAGAAGGGUUGGACGGAAAUCACUUGGAACUUGAGCUUCGGUCUUUGUAGCACCCUCGGCAGCCAGCGCGCAUUCAGCUGCCUGGCAGAAGUAGCUUUUCAACCUCCAGGGUGUUUGUGUAGCAUCUUUCGUCACGGAAGUCGACUUCCCCGUCUUCCCAUGACCGCCCUGGCACCAGUCUGGCGUCCGGGAGAUGAGGGAGCAGCGGGAGAGAUGCGUUCUGCUGUCCGUGGAGCACGGCCUCGGCAGGCCCCUCCUCGCUGCUCCGCUCUGCACCUUGAUUAACCGGCCUGUGGUGUAUCACCAGAAAUCCAGGCAAGGGCAAAACUGAGUCAGUAUCAGUUAGCUAAAACAGGAACGGACUUCCCACAGAGACCCCAGGAUGGAGCUGUACUCAAGGCGGCCCUUUCAAACACAGGUCUUCUCAAAUAAUGAGCCGUAGAAGAUUUCAUUUAGGGCCUAGUUGUUUAAAGAAAUUAAAAACUGAAAUUAGCAGCUGAAAUCCACUUGGAGGAGUCUGCUAUCCCUUUAAUAUGUCUGUCUGUUCCUCUCACUGAGACAUCCCAGUCCUUCCUCCGAAGUGAUUUGAAUACUUAAUAUUUGCCGAAAUGCUUUAGUUGGAUUUGAAUAACGUAAUUGAAUUUCUCCUGCUGCAUUCAGGGUACGUGAAGGCUUGGGAGUUCCUGUGGUAAGAUGUGGAUGUGCUUAUUUUUAGAAGUGAUUCUUACUUAUUUCUCUGUCUGCGAGCCAAGAAUUAAUAAGCAGUGGGCCUGCCAGACAGAUGAGGCUGUAUUCAUCAGAGUUCCAGGCUUUAUCUGCCACUCUCCAGGUGAAUGGCUUGUCUCUGGGGCUCAGAGAUGAUCUGCCCAGUGACAGGUUUGGGUUGAGCUGAACUGGAUAUAGAUUGGAUGCCAUGUUUUCUUAGGAACCUCAUCGUAAACAGGAUUGUUAUAAAGUAAGAUCCUGACUACGUGCCACUGCUUUGUGGACAGCCUAGGGAGAGAGACAGAUGAACUGGAAGGUCUAACCACGCAGUCGGCACUGGGAAAGAGAUAUGGCCAGGGCACAGAGGAAGGAAAUCUUUAUCCCUGGGGUAAUCGUGGAAGGCUUACCAAAGAAUCUUCAAGAGGAAUUGGAAGUUAUCCCGGCAGGGAAGGGGGCGCCGUGUUCCAGGUAAUGGGAGUAGCAGAUUUGAAGGCACGGAGACUCAGAGUGUGAUGAAUCCCUGCAGCGUGUCUAGUGGCGUGGCUGGGGCUUGGAGGAGCGAUGGGAGAGGAAGCUGGAGAGAGAGGAAGGAAGAAGGCAAAGCCUUUCCUCUGGUGACGCAGUGUGGGUGUAGGACCUCUGCAGGAGGGAGAUGUGUGGCUGAGUGCUUGCUGAAGUUCACUGGAGAGAACAGCACUCCAGGGUUUGCUUCUGGACUCAGCACGUGCCUGUAGAGGCGGUUCUGAAUGAACCACGUCAUCAAGAAGAAAUGCACGAAGCCUCUGCUCUGUUCAGGGCACCACGACAGCGGUCCUGACCCUGGCGGUCCUGCCUGCUCCCCAGAGCCGUCCUGCUGCUCCUGAGCGGGCUAGAAAUCGUGCUGGUUGUCUUCCUCUGCAGUGAUGGUGUGAAAGGCUGCUCUUUGGGCUUUCGUGUCGUUUAGCAUGCUGGCCUCAGUCAGAGGAGUGUACAUCCCCUACAUUCAAUUUUGUAAUAAAGUUUUAAUUUUAGAAGAGCUCUCGGAUUACAGAAAAAUUGCAACGUAGGUACAGAGUUCGCGUGUACCCCACACCCAGUCCCCCUGUUGGUGAAGUCUUACAUGAGUCUGGUAUAUUUGUCACAGUGGGUGAAUCAAUUUUUGAAGAAUUACCUAUAUUUUAUUUCUUUAUUUCCAAACCUUCUUGCUAUGGCCUUUUCAGUUACCUUUGACAGUGGGAGGAACUCUUGUUUACUCAUGAUUCAGAAACUUGAGUCGAACCAAUAAUUUGAAUGGCCUCCCUCCCUGUGUUUUUGGGAUUGUUUUGUCCUAAACCCUGUUUCUUAUCUC